rnacentral:tRNA from 1 species
AGCUCCGAGGUGUUUUUACGCUAGAUUGCAAAUCUGGAGAAGCAGUUUCAUCUCUGCCGGGGCUU